AUACGACCGUACCGCAAACCGACACUGGUGCGCGAGAUGAGUAUUCUAAGGCGCUUGAGAGAACUCAGGAGAAGGAACUCGGCAAAUUGACACCGUAACUUCGGAAGAAGGUGUGCCCUAUUAGUGUGUAGUGAACAACGAAGCAUGAAUGGGUUGCAAAAAAUCGGUGGCUGCGACUGUUUAUUAAAAACACAGCACUCUGCAAACACGAAAGUGGACGUAUAGGGUGUGACGCCUGCCCGGUGCUGGAAGAUUAAAUGAUGGGGUGCAAGCUCUUGAUUGAAGUCCCAGUAAACGGCGGCCGUAACUAUAACGGUCCUAAGGUAGCGAAAUUCCUUGUCGGGUAAGUUCCGACCUGCACGAAUGGCGUAACGAUGGCCACACUGUCUCCUCCUGAGACUCAGCGAAGUUGAAAUGUUUGUGAUGAUGCAAUCUCCCCGCGGAAAGACGGAAAGACCCCAUGAACCUUUACUGUAGCUUUGUAUUGGACUUUGAACAGAUCUGUGUAGGAUAGGUGGGAGGCUUUGAAGCAGGGUCGCUAGAUCUUGUGGAGCCAACGUUGAAAUACCACCCUGGUGUGUUUGAGGUUCUAACCUAGGUCCAUUAUCUGGAUCGGGGACAGUGCAUGGUAGGCAGUUUGACUGGGGCGGUCUCCUCCCAAAGCGUAACGGAGGAGUUCGAAGGUACGCUAGUUACGGUCGGACAUCGUGACGAUAGUGCAAUGGCAUAAGCGUGCUUAACUGCGAGACUGACAAGUCGAGCAGAUGCGAAAGCAGGACAUAGUGAUCCGGUGGUUCUGUAUGGAAGGGCCAUCGCUCAACGGAUAAAAGGUACUCUGGGGAUAACAGGCUGAUACCGCCCAAGAGUUCAUAUCGACGGCGGUGUUUGGCACCUCGAUGUCGGCUCAUCUCAUCCUGGGGCUGUAGCCGGUCCCAAGGGUAUGGCUGUUCGCCAUUUAAAGAGGUACGUGAGCUGGGUUUAAAACGUCGUGAGACAGUUUGGUCCCUAUCUUCCGUGGGCGCUGCAGAUUUGAGGAAGCCUGCUCCUAGUACGAGAGGACCGGAGUGGACACACCUCUGGUGUAUCGGUUGUCACGCCAGUGGCAUUGCCGAGUAGCUAAGUGUGGAAGAGAUAACCGCUGAAAGCAUCUAAGCGGGAAACUCGUUUCAAGAUGAGAUCUGCCGGGGCCUUGAGCCCCCUAAAGAGUCGUUCAAGACCAGGACGUUGAUAGGUCAGGUGUGGAAGUGAAA
rnacentral:rRNA from 1 species